UUUAUGGAGAGUUUGAUCCUGGCUCAGGAUGAACGCUGGCGGCGUGCCUAAUACAUGCAAGUCGAGCGAACGGACGAGAAGCUUGCUUCUCUGAUGUUAGCGGCGGACGGGUGAGUAACACGUGGAUAACCUACCUAUAAGACUGGGAUAACUUCGGGAAACCGGAGCUAAUACCGGAUAAUAUUUUGAACCGCAUGGUUCAAAAGUGAAAGACGGUCUUGCUGUCACUUAUAGAUGGAUCCGCGCUGCAUUAGCUAGUUGGUAAGGUAACGGCUUACCAAGGCAACGAUGCAUAGCCGACCUGAGAGGGUGAUCGGCCACACUGGAACUGAGACACGGUCCAGACUCCUACGGGAGGCAGCAGUAGGGAAUCUUCCGCAAUGGGCGAAAGCCUGACGGAGCAACGCCGCGUGAGUGAUGAAGGUCUUCGGAUCGUAAAACUCUGUUAUUAGGGAAGAACAUAUGUGUAAGUAACUGUGCACAUCUUGACGGUACCUAAUCAGAAAGCCACGGCUAACUACGUGCCAGCAGCCGCGGU
rnacentral:rRNA from 1 species